rnacentral:rRNA from 1 species
AUGAACGCUGGCGGCGUGCCUAAUCCAUGCAAGUCGAGCGAACAGACGAGGAGCUUGCUCCUCUGACGUUAGCGGCGGACGGGUGAGUAACACGUGGAUAACCUACCUAUAAGACUGGGAUAACUUCGGGAAACCGGAGCUAAUACCGGAUAAUAUAUUGAACCGCAUGGUUCAAUAGUGAAAGACGGUUUUGCUGUCACUUAUAGAUGGAUCCGCGCCGCAUUAGCUAGUUGGUAAGGUAACGGCUUACCAAGGCGACGAUGCGUAGCCGACCUGAGAGGGUGAUCGGCCACACUGGAACUGGGACACGGUCCAGACUCCUACGGGAGGCAGCAGUAGGGAAUCGUCCGCAAUGGGCGAAAGCCUGACGGAGCAACGCCGCGUGAGUGAUGAAGGUCUUCGGAGCGUAAAACUCUGUUAUUAGGGAAGAACAAAUGUGUAAGUAACUAUGCACGUCUUGACGGUACCUAAUCAGAAAGCCACGGCUAACUACGUG